rnacentral:rRNA from 1 species
AGAGCGAACGCUGGCGGCAGGCCUAACACAUGCAAGUCGAACGAACCUUCGGGUUAGUGGCGGACGGGUGAGUAACACGUGGGAACGUACCUUUUGGUUCGGAAUAACGCAGAGAAAUUUGCGCUAAUACCGAAUGUGCCCUUCGGGGGAAAGAUUUAUCGCCAUUAGAGCGGCCCGCGUUAGAUUAGCUAGUUGGUGAGGUAAAGGCUCACCAAGGCUACGAUCUAUAGCUGGUCUGAGAGGAUGAUCAGCCACAUUGGGACUGAGACACGGCCCAAACUCCUACGGGAGGCAGCAGUGGGGAAUCUUGCGCAAUGGGCGAAAGCCUGACGCAGCCAUGCCGCGUGAAUGAUGAAGGUCUUAGGAUUGUAAAAUUCUUUCAGUAGGGACGAUAAUGACGGUACCUACAGAAGAAGCCCCGGCUAACUCGCGCCAGCAGCCGC